UAGCUCAGUCGAUUGAGCAUGAGACUCUUAAUCUCAGCGUCGUGGGUUAGAGCCCUAC
rfam:Danio rerio unplaced genomic contig CTG6325, GRCz11 reference primary assembly.